GUCAGACUUCCUGUUAACUUCCGUAAACAAAAUGCUAGUUAGCUAAUCCAAAAUUAUGAACAUAAUAACAUGUAAUGCUUCAAGUUGAUCACUUUAUGCAUGUUGAUUCAAAGGAUUUCCCCCCACCAUCUCGAUGUCUCAUGGAAAUGCCAACUCGUUAACUUCUCUCACUGGAAGAAAUGGAGAACUACUGGAGUGUUCAAAAGCGGAGACAAAUGGAGCCUCUGCAACAGACAGAGUGCUGCCAGUGAGAAUUGAUGGAGGUCCUGGUGUAAGAGCCCGAGAGCCAGUUAAAAAAAAGCUGGGUACCAGCAGCACUGCCUUCAUUGGACCUGUAUGCUGUCCUCCUAAGGCAGUCCAGAGAGCUCCCAAACCACCAAAAGUAAGGAAACUUGCCAAACCUAACAUUGAAGAGACACUGAGUGAGUUCUACAAAGAGCUUGAGGAGAUUGAUCCAAAAGACAGCGUUGACAGUAGCACGGCCAAAAAUGAAGGCUCAGUUGAAUUACUCACCGCUCAUAACCCACCACCUGCAAGAGAAGGGUCAAAUGCAAGCCAUGGCCAUAAGCAACCGAAUCACGUGCCUUGCCCACACUGGUAUGACACCGAGCCAUACCAGCCCAGGAGACCGAUACCUAGGGGGCCCAGCUAUGGUCCCUACUCAGAUCAUAAUCACUGGCAACCUCCCCCACCUUUCCACAGUCAGCCAUACUACAGGUUCCACAGACCUCCCCACCGCUUCCCGCCACCACCUCCGAUCCCCUGCCUCCCGCCACCACCUCCCGCAGACCACCGGUAUCACCCCCAACGAGAGGGCUCCCAGCAGGUCCCACCUUUUCACAGGUUCCCUGUCCCUGAUGGGUACAGGAACUCUCCAGACUUGGAUGGCCAUGGCUUUCCCCCACAGCACUCUAACAACAGAGACAGAGGGGGCUACGGUUGGAGAGAUGACAAGUAUGACCAGCAGGGUAAUGACCAGCAAGGUUCUUCUGAAUGGCAGCAGAGGUUUGACCAAGGACCUGAGCCACCUCAGCCAGAGGAUCAGCACCAACCACCAGAAGAUAAAACAUAUGACUAUGAUCCUUCUCUGGUUCUCAUUCUGAUGAGGGGAGCCCCGGGAUCUGGGAAAUCAACACUGGCCAGGGAACUGCUGUCGACAGGCUCCAGCGGGCAGGUUCUGAGUACAGAUGACUACUUCUCCCAGGAAGAAGGCUACACCUACGAUCCCAGUCUGCUGGGGGCCGCACACCACUGGAACCAGAACCGAGCCCAAGAAGCCAUGUAUAAAUGCUGUUCUCCUGUCAUUAUUGAUAACACAAAUAUGCAAGCUUGGGAAAUGAAGCCAUAUGUUAAACUGGCCUUGGAGAGAGGAUACAGUAUCAACUUUCAUGAGCCUCACACCAGCUGGAAAUUUGAUCCCGUCGAGUUAGAGAACUAGCAGCCAAUGGAGAGCAUGGCUCACUCAAAGGGUCGGGCCACAGAUGACAAGAUCACCUAUUCGCCCGGGGUGAAGGAGAUCUCGGACAAGAUCUCCUUGGAGGAGUUGGUCCGCAGGCUCAAGGAUCGACAGUGCCGAGGUGGACCACAGUGAGAACGAGGAUAUCACGGUCAUGAAGAGUCUGGCUGCUCAGGACGACGACAGCAAGCCCGGCCCGGGGACGCAAACGAGGGGCAGCCGCUGCCAGCCAGGACGACAAGGCAGGCCAGGAGGCCAAGCCCAAACAAGGGUGGAGGAAGGAGCCGGCGGCUAACACCAGCAUGGGCGUGGGGGAGGAGCCGUGGGCCGAGACCAAUGCCGCAGACACCACCCUGGAGACGAAAGACGAGCAGAACAAUCCUCCCAAAAGAGGUCGCAGGAGACGGCCCCCCAAGGCUGCUGCGCCCAAUAAUGACAGACUUACCAAGGGCAUGAGGGGCCGGAAGAAGGCUGCUUGUCAAGCUGAGGAGGAAGAUGGCAGCAGUGAGAACAUGGAAGUGAAGCCCACGGUGCAGAGAGGAGGCAGGGCACCACGGAGGCCGCAGCAGAGACUGGAGGCCUCAGAGGCCACAGACGACUCUGCAGAAUCCAUGCCACAGAAAAGACGGGGGAGACCUCCCAAAGCACAGCAACAUUCAGCCAAGAAAAAUCUGCAACUGUGGCAUUUUCUUCAACUUCAUUCAUUAUCCUUUAUAUUUUGAAUUAAUUCAGUGCCUUGCAUGAGUUACAGACUUGCUGUUUGCAGGUUUUUGUUUUGUUUUGUUUUGACUUCAAUGUCAACCCUGUUACUCAGUGAGGAGCAGGCUGUUGUUUUGCUGUUGUACAAUGACCUGCUGUGUGUUUCAGGCACACAGGGCGUUUGAGUAAAGAGAACGAGUCCUAGGUGGAGGAGAUGGAGAUGUCUCAGAGCCAGGAAGAGGAGGAGAGCAAGACAACACCCAAAGUGCGACGGAAGACGGGCAGGAGAAGAUGAGACAGACAUCGUGUUUUUUCUCGAAGGUCAGAGGACGAGAACAGAUGGAGAGUACAUCGAUCUGCCUAGGCUGUGUGUAUUCGUCCUUGAUGUUCAGUUGUUAAGCUUUGCCACACACACAUCCACCUUGGUUUGUCUAACAUUGUUAUGUGUGUCGCCGACCACAGGAACGAUCCAAACUGAUUCAAAUAAAUGUAUGUAGUCUUUCUUGCCUUUUUUCCCCCCUGUGCUGGGGAGGCAGUUGUAUAGCUUAUAUCUCCCAGCUUUAAGAUAUCGCACCAGCUCUAACUGUCAAAGUGAAUGUUUGGAAUAAACUUUUAGCAGUACUGUAUCGGUCAUUUUUCAGUAUUUUUCGUUCUGUGACAAGGAAAUAGUGUUGUAGAUUUGAUUUGUUAAGUUAAUUUUUUAAGUCGUUUUUGUUCAUUCGUUUGUUUACUCCUGUUUGCAUUUUAUUGUGCAUGUGCAAAGGUGCCUCUGCAGACGAAGAAAAAAACAAGUGACAAAUCCAAGAUUAAAUCAAGUAUUUGGUCCA